rnacentral:misc_RNA from 1 species
UUUCCGUAGGUGAACCUGCGGAAGGAUCAUUCAUAAUAAAGUGCUUUAUGGCACUUUUUAAAAAUCCAUAUCCACCUCGUGUGCAAUGUUAGAUCUCGUCAAUCUUGGCGAGAUUUUUAUACAUCAACUCAUUCUUUAACUAAUUUGUCUGAAAAAUAUUAUGAAUACUUAAUUCAAAAUACAACUUUCAACAACGGAUCUCUUGGCUCUC